rnacentral:rRNA from 1 species
CAGUCGCCACGGGAAUACGGAGGAUGCAAGCGUUAUUCGGAAUGAUUGGGCGUAAAGCGUCUGUAGGUGGCUUUUCAAGUCCGCCGUCAGAUCCCCGGGCUGAACCCUAGACAGGCGGUGGAAACUACCAAGCUGGAGUACGGUAGGGGCAGAGGGAACUUCCGGUGGAGCGGUGAAAUGCGUUGAGAUCGGAAGGAACGCCCGUGGCGAAAGCGAGGUCCUGGACGUCUGCUGACGCUGAGACGCGAAAGCCAGGGGAGCGAACGGGAUUAGAUACCCCUGUAGUCCCUGUCUCUUAUAC